CCUACGGGAGGCAGCAGUGAGGAAUAUUGGUCAAUGGGCGCGAGCCUGAACCAGCCAAGUCGCGUGAGGGAGGACGGCCCUACGGGUUGUAAACCUCUUUUGCCGGGGAGCAACGGGCGCCACGUGUGGCGUCACUGAGAGUACCCGGAGAAAAAGCAUCGGCAAACUCCGUGCCAGCAGCCGCGGUAAUACGUAGGAUGCGAGCGUUAUCCGACUUUAUUGGGUUAAAGGGGUGCGUAGGCGGAUCGUUAAGUCAGUGGUCAAAUUGAGGGGCUCAACCCCUUCCCGCCAUUGAAACUGGCGUUCUUGAGUGGAAGAGAGGUAUGCGGAAUGCGUGGUGUAGCGGUGAAAUGCAUAGAUAUCACGCAGAACCCCGGUUGCGAAGGCAGCAUGCCGGCUUCCGACUGACGCUGAAGCACGAAAGCGUGGGGAUCGAACAGGAUUAGAUACCCGAGUAGUC
rnacentral:rRNA from 1 species